AAGAUCGAACGGGGAGAUUCAUCGUCAGCGUCNCUGGCUUCGCGUCGAUGGNCGAUGUCCUGCGAUCUUUCGCGCGAGCACGCUGCCGUGCGCGCACNUCCGGCUGCGUUGUCGUGCACUUCUCUCCUAGUAGAACGUCGCGANCCGCUGGUUGUCGGUCUACGGNCCGGGGUGAUGUCUGUUGCGACNCCGGUAAAACGGCAUGCGGCAAACCCCCGGUCANUCACAGCCCGGCUNNCUNCUCGGCGGUACUCGCACGGUAUCAGGCCGCAAAGCUUUCUCUACGCUCUGCGUCGAGCUCGACGCAAGCGCGCGCCAUNGUACUCGGAGGCACGGACCCAGCGCCGUCCCCGGCCUUGGCCCGCUGUUGGCUGACGGUGACNCUUCGACAGGCUUUAAA
rnacentral:rRNA from 1 species